UUUAACAGAAACCGAAUAUAUUUUUAUUAAAAAUUUAUUGUUUUAUUAUGUGGAAGACUUCGGUUUAUUACCACUUAUAACCCCUGAGACUAAUUUUAAAGAUUAUCAUAAUUUCCUAUGCAAACUUUAUACCGGUGAAUUUUCUUGCGCUUUCUGUUUCGAGCCAAAUUUUAUCCUGUGUCUGGUUUACAACGGAUUUAUCCCGAUGGCUUACUAUAAUUUAUUGACUCCUAAACUUCACCGACAGAGAUGCAUCCUUACUUUUGACAAUUUACAUGUCUCUCGUAAUGUGUUAAAAAAAUGUAAAAAAUAUAUUAU